AGCAGCCGCGGUAAUUCCAGCUCCAAUAGCGUAUAUUAAAGUUGUUGCAGUUAAAAAGCUCGUAGUUGAACUUCGGGGUUUACCCAUUGGUCAGGCUUAAUUGUCUGUACUGGUGAGAUAAAUCUCUACCUUCUGAGGAACUUUCAUGCCAUUUAUUUGGUGUGAUGGGAAAUCAGGACUGUUACUUUGAAAAAUUAGAGUGUUUAAAGCAGGCUAACGUCUGAAUACAUUAGCAUGGAAUAAUGAAAUAGGACGGACUGAUUCUAUUUCGUUGGUUUCUAGGAUCACCGUAAUGAUUAAUAGGGAUAGUUGGGGGCGAUUAGUAUUCAAUUGUCAGAGGUGAAAUUCUUGGAUUUAUUGAAGACUAACUACUGCGAAAGCAUUUGCCAAGGAUGUUUCAUUAAUCAAGAACGAAAGUUAGGGGAUCGAAGACGAUCAGAUACCGUCGUAGUCUUAACCAUAAACUAUGCCGACUAGGGAUCGGACGAAGUUAAUUUUAUAAUGACGCGUUCGGCACCUU
rnacentral:rRNA from 1 species